rnacentral:rRNA from 1 species
CACGUAGGGACCGAGCGUUGUCCGGAUUUAUUGGGCGUAAAGAGCUCGUAGGCGGUUCAGCAAGUCGGGUGUGAAAACUCUGGGCUCAACCCAGAGACGCCACCCGAUACUGCUGUGACUAGAGUCCGGUAGGGGAGUGGGGAAUUCCUGGUGUAGCGGUGAAAUGCGCAGAUAUCAGGAAGAACACCCGUGGCGAAGGCGGCUCUCUGGGACGGUACUGACGCUGAGACGCGAAAGCGUGGGGAGCGAACAGG